CCUACGGGUGGCAGCAGUGAGGAAUAUUGGUCAAUGGGCGGGAGCCUGAACCAGCCAAGUCGCGUGAGGGAAGACGGUCCUACGGAUUGUAAACCUCUUUUGCCGGGGAGCAACGGGGUCCUUGCGAGGGCCCAAUGAGAGUACCCGGAGAAAAAGCAUCGGCUAACUCCGUGCCAGCAGCCGCGGUAAUACGGAGGAUGCGAGCGUUAUCCGGAUUUAUUGGGUUUAAAGGGUGCGUAGGCGGGCUGUUAAGUCAGCGGUCAAAUGUCGGGGCUCAACCCCGGCCUGCCGUUGAAACUGGCGGCCUCGAGUGGGCGAGAAGUAUGCGGAAUGCGUGGUGUAGCGGUGAAAUGCAUAGAUAUCACGCAGAACUCCGAUUGCGAAGGCAGCAUACCGGCGCCCUACUGACGCUGAGGCACGAAAGCGUGGGUAUCGAACAG
rnacentral:rRNA from 1 species